AACUCCCUCCCAGCCCCCCAGUACACCUCCACGCCAUCUGUGCCAACCUGCCGUCUCUCCGUCAGACAGUUUGCAGGUUCCGCCGUGCGUGGCAGGCCUACAGCUGUGCAGACAGCCAGCCCAACAUCUGUGUGUCCUGUGGGACAGACGGGGGGGAAUGUCCCGUUGAUCGACUCAGCUGCUGCUGGCCUUAAACACAGCCACUGGCCGGCAGUUCUGUGGACAGGUGCCCUGUUUUAUUGCGUUGUGCCUGUAGAGUCCUGCUGGGUGUGGAUCAGUGUGGAGAGCCAAUAGCAGGCCGGCAGGCGGGUGGUGGUCAGUGGUCAAUGAGGCAGGGUGGGGUUACUGUGUCAUAAUCACAAUAAAGGAAAGGCUCAGCACUUCUUUAUUUGCACACAGAAAACACACCUAAAAUCAUCAUACAAAUUUCAGUAAUUAUAAACAGGCAAAACCACUGACGUUUCUCAAAUUUUCCUCUGAACAGAGAUCAGAAGAGAUCAGUGUGUUUUUUUUUCAGCACCGCACUGGACGUGCUGCUUGAGAGGAUGACAUCUGAAUGAAGACUCUGGUGCACUGAGCCUUUAGACUCUGAGCAUUCAAUAUAUAUGAUCAAUACAUGGAUUCCCACCAGCAGGUCAUUAAGACUGUUCAGCCCAAUCAAGCGCUUAUUCUCCUGUGUGGGAGAGAUGCGCCGUUUCAUUUAGCUCCCAGUGAUUCAUGGGAGUUACCUUAUUAGGCAGGAUCUCUCCUGUAAAAGGAGCUCAUUCACAUGAGCACUCAGCUGCUGGUAUUAAUGAAAUCAAACAGAUGUCAAAUCUUAAGCGUUUGUGACAAGAAAGUGGAAGAGAAAUUGUUUUGCAUUUUACAUAUUCUUAUAUGUCACAAUUAGAAUGAAUACCAUUUAGAAAAUUACAUUAAAAUGUAUCUUUAUGUAUAUUAUCUGCAAAAUCUAACAAAAUUUGUUCAUUUCUUAGAUUUUAAAAAUAAUUUUAUACUAUGGAUACAGACAAACAAUUUUAUUUCUUAGUUUUCUAGCGAAAAGAAUUUUUACUUGGGUGGCUGGAUGGGAUUUUGACUCCUUUUGUUCUUUUUCUCUCUAUUGGCACAGAUAACACCCAUUGCCUUGCAGAGGAACAUCCGGACAUCCGGUAAGAUUCUGUCAUUUAUUGUAAGCCACAUUCCAGAUGAAAUGAAGCAGCAUGUGAGUAGAGUCCAGGGAGAGCUGCAGGCAUGUGUGCUUUUGUAAGGGAUUCUCCAGCCCAACAGCUGAACCAGCUGCAAGAGCGGCAGCUCCGGU
rnacentral:lncRNA from 1 species